rnacentral:ncRNA from 1 species
AUAAAUGCUAAGAAAAAGAGGAGUAGAUUUAAACUAUCUAGAAAAGAGAAAAGAAGUCACCGGCUGAAAGCUUCUUAUAGAAAAGAAAAUUGAAGGUAGCUUUGGAGCAGAUAUAUUGAAAUAAUAGUAAAUAUAUUCGUUUAGUUUGCGUUACAAAACUCAAGAGAUAUAUAUUUAAAAUAUAUAACUAAGGUGGUACCGUGAGAAUAUUCUCGCCCUUACA